rnacentral:lncRNA from 1 species
AUGAGGUGUGUGCUCUGUAUAUUCCGGAGGUACAAUUUGCCAAUGAUUCCACAAUGGAACCAAUUGUUUUACAGUCUGUUCCACAUGAUCAUUGUAAUAAGGUUGAGACUGAGCUAAAGUUAAUCUGCGGCGAUGUUCUGGAUGCACUGGACAAACACCUCAUUCCAGCAGCUACCACUGGAAAGGGGUCUACCACAGGUAUCUGGCAGAAUUUGCCACAGGAAAUGACAG